AGAAUUGAUCUGGUCAGAACGAACGCUGGCGGCGCGUUUAAGCAUGCAAGUCGAGCGGCAAGGGCCUUCGGGCCCCUAGAGCGGCGGACGGGUGAGUAACACGUGGACAAUCUGCCCCCCGGCCCGGGAUAGCCCAGGGAAACCUGGAUUAAUACCGGAUGAGACGGGACCCGCGAUGGCGGGAUCCGGGAAAGGCGCUGCGGCGCCGCCGGGGGAUGAGUCUGCGUCCCAUUAGCUAGACGGCGGGGUAACGGCCCACCGUGGCGACGAUGGGUAGCCGGCCUGAGAGGGUGGACGGCCACAUUGGAACUGAGACACGGUCCAGACUCCUACGGGAGGCAGCAGCUAAGAAUCUUCCGCAAUGGGCGAAAGCCUGACGGAGCGACGCCCGCGUGAACGAAGAAGGCCGUGAGGUUGUAAAGUUCUUUUCGGGAGGGGGAACAACCGUGGCAGGGAAUGGCCGCGGGAUGACGUGAAUCCCGGAAUAAGCCCCGGCUAACUACGUGCCAGCCGCUGC
rnacentral:rRNA from 1 species